GUGCAAAGGUAGCAUAAUCAUUAGGUUUUUAAUUGGAAUCUUGUAUGAAUGAUUGGACAAGAGAAGUACUGUCUUUGUAUUGAAACUUGAAUUUAACUUUUAAGUGAAAAGGCUUAAAUAUGCUAAAGGGACGAUAAGACCCUAUAAAACUUUACAUUUAUGUUAAAUUUUAUGGAAUUUGAAAUUAUAAUUAUUAAGUUUAAUUUUUUGUUAUGUUGGGGAGACAAAAGCUAUAAUUAUGUAUAACUGCUUUUAAAAGAAACAAAAAUAAAUGGGGAGAGUUAAAGAUCCUUUAUUGAGAUUGUAAGAUUAAGUUACUUUAGGGAUAACAGCGUUAUUUUUUUUGAGAGUUCAUAUUGAAAAAAAAGAUUGCGACCUCC
rnacentral:rRNA from 1 species